rnacentral:rRNA from 1 species
GACGAACCUUGCUAACGUUAUUCGGAAUUACUGGGCUUAAAGGGUGCGUAGGCGGUGCGGAAAGUCGGGUGUGAAAUCCCCCAGCUCAACUGGGGAAUUGCGCCUGAAACUACCGUGCUCGAGGAAGACAGAGGUACGCGGAACUUAGGGUGGAGCGGUGAAAUGCGCAGAUAUCAGGAGGAACACCAAUGGCGAAGGCAGCUCGCUGGAACGGUACUGACGCUGAGGCGCGAAAGCGUGGGGAGCGAACGGG